rnacentral:rRNA from 1 species
UACAGAGGUCUCAAGCGUUGUUCGGAUUCAUUGGGCGUAAAGGGUGCGUAGGUGGCGAUGUAAGUCUGGUGUGAAAUUUCGGAGCUCAACUCCGAAACUGCAUUGGAUACUGCGUUGCUCGAGGAUUGUAGAGGAGAGUGGAAUUCACGGUGUAGCAGUGAAAUGCGUAGAUAUCGUGAGGAAGACCAGUUGCGAAGGCGACUCUCUGGGCAAUUCCUGACACUGAGGCACGAAGGCCAGGGGAGCAAAC